UACGAAGGGGGCGAGCGUUGUUCGGAAUUACUGGGCGUAAAGGGCGCGUAGGCGGCCAGCACAAGUCAGUUGUGAAAUCUCCGAGCUUAACUCGGAAAGGUCAACUGAUACUGUGCGGCUAGAGUGCGGAAGGGGCAACUGGAAUUCUUGGUGUAGCGGUGAAAUGCGUAGAUAUCAAGAGGAACACCUGCGGCGAAGGCGGGUUGCUGGGACGGUACUGACGCUGAGGCGCGAAAGCGUGGGGAGCAAACAGG
rnacentral:rRNA from 1 species